AUUGAACGCUGGCGGAAUGCUUUACACAUGCAAGUCGAACGGCAGCAUAGAGAGCUUGCUCUCUGAUGGCGAGUGGCGAACGGGUGAGUAAUAUAUCGGAACGUGCCUAGUAAUGGGGAACAACUAAUCGAAAGGUUAGCUAAUACCGCAUACGACCUACGGGUGAAAGCAGGGGAUCUUCGGACCUUGCGUUAUUAGAGCGGCCGAUAUCUGAUUAGGUAGUUGGUGGGGUAAAGGCCUACCAAGCCGACGAUCAGUAGCUGGUCUGAGAGGACGAUCAGCCACACUGGAACUGAGACACGGUCCAG
rnacentral:rRNA from 1 species